CGGGAAAAGCUCAAAUUUAAAAUCUGGCAGUCUUUGGCUGUCCGAGUUGUAAUCUGGAGAAGCGUCUUCCGCGCUGGACCGUGUACAAGUCUCCUGGAACGGAGCGUCAUAGAGGGUGAGAAUCCCGUCUUUGACACGGACUACCAGUGCUCUGUGAUGCGCUCUCAAA
rnacentral:rRNA from 1 species